rnacentral:lncRNA from 1 species
AUUCCUGCCAUUUGGUCUUUUUUUUUCUUUGUGUUUGAACAAAGCACAAAUGUGGUGUUGUGUGUUUUUUACUUUGUUUUCCUGUCUUUGGUAGUGCUUUCUUUGGUGUCAGGUGAAUGAAUGAUAGGAAGUGUCGUGUCUUUGUUAUUGCUUUGUUCCAAUUCCAAUUUUGAGAUAAAAAAUAAGAGAUGAUAAGAUUGUUUUGGUGGAUUAAUAAUAGAAAAUAGAUUGUGUUGUUUCUGUCCAAAUCAAAAAAAGAUGUAUUCCCUUAUAAGAGAGACGGUGGACAAAAUUGGACCAUGCAU